rnacentral:piRNA from 7 species
GUACGUAGCAGAGCAGCUCCCUCGCUG